GACGAACGCUGGCGGCGUGCUUAACACAUGCAAGUCGAACGGAAAGGCCCUGCUUUUGUGCGGUGCUCGAGUGGCGAACGGGUGAGUAAAACGUGAGUAACCUGCCCUUAACUUUGGGAUAACUUCAGGAGACUGGGGCUAAUACCGGAUAGGAGCUCCUGCUGCGUGGUGGGGGAUGGAGAGUUUCGGCGGUUGGGUCUGGACUCGCGGCUUAUCCGCUUGUUGGUGGGGUAGUGGCUUUCCAAGGGUUUGACGGGUAGCCGGCCUGAGAGGGUGACCGGCCACAUUGGGACUGAGAUACGGCCCAGACGCCUACGGGAGGCAGCAGUGGGGAAUCUUGCACAAUGGGGGGACGUCUGAUGCAGCAACGCCGCGUGCGGAAUGACGGCUUUCGGGUUGUAAACCGCUUUCGCCUGUGACGAAGCGGGCGUGACGGUAAUUGGUAAAGAAGCACCGGCUAACUACGUG
rnacentral:rRNA from 1 species